CACAGGGAGCUUGCUCCUGGGUGACGAGCGGCGGACGGGUGAGUAAUGUCUGGGAAACUGCCUGAUGGAGGGGGAUAACUACUGGAAACGGUAGCUAAUACCGCAUAACGUCGCAAGACCAAAGAGGGGGACCUUCGGGCCUCUUGCCAUCAGAUGUGCCCAGAUGGGAUUAGCUAGUAGGUGGGGUAACGGCUCACCUAGGCGACGAUCCCUAGCUGGUCUGAGAGGAUGACCAGCCACACUGGAACUGAGACACGGUCCAGACUCCUACGGGAGGCAGCAGUGGGGAAUAUUGCACAAUGGGCGCAAGCCUGAUGCAGCCAUGCCGCGUGUAUGAAGAAGGCCUUCGGGUUGUAAAGUACUUUCAGCGGGGAGGAAGGYGWURAGGUUAAUAACCUYRKCRAUUGACGUUACCCGCAGAAGAAGCACCGGCUAACUCCGUGCCAGCAGCCGCGGUAAUACGGAGGGUGCAAGCGUUAAUCGGAAUUACUGGGCGUAAAGCGCACGCAGGCGGUCUGUCAAGUCGGAUGU
rnacentral:rRNA from 1 species